UUUGAUCAUGGCUCAAAUUGAACGCUGGCGGCAUGCCUUACACAUGCAAGUCAAACGGCAGCACGGGUGCUUGCAUCUGGUGGCGAGUGGCGAACGGGUGAGUAAUACAUCGAAACGUACCUUAUCGGGGGGGAUAACGCACCGAAAGCUGUGCUAAUACCGCAUACCCCCUGAGGGGGAAAGCGGGGGAUCGCAAGACCUCGCGCGAUUAGAGCGGCCAAUGCCUGAUUAGCUUGUUGGUGGGGUAAAAGCCCACCAAGGCAACAAUCAGUAGCUGGUCUGAGAGGACAAUCACCCACACUGGGACUGAAACACGGCCCAAACUCCUACGGGAGGCAGCAGUGGGGAAUUUUGGACAAUGGGGGCAACCCUGAUCCAGCAAUGCCGCGUGAGUGAGGAAGGCCUUCGGGUUGUAAAGCUCUUUUGUCAGGGAAAAAACACCGGCUCUAACACAGUCCGGGAAUGACGGUACCUGAAAAAUAAGCACCGGCUAACUACGUG
rnacentral:rRNA from 1 species